AAAUUGAAGAGUUUGAUCAUGGCUCAGAUUGAACGCUGGCGGCAGGCCUAACACAUGCAAGUCGAACGGUAGCACAGAGAGCUUGCUCUCGGGUGACGAGUGGCGGACGGGUGAGUAAUGUCUGGGAAACUGCCUGAUGGAGGGGGAUAACUACUGGAAACGGUGGCUAAUACCGCAUAACGUCGCAAGACCAAAGAGGGGGACCUUCGGGCCUCUUGCCAUCAGAUGUGCCCAGAUGGGAUUAGCUUGUUGGUGAGGUAACGGCUCACCAAGGCGACGAUCCCUAGCUGGUCUGAGAGGAUGACCAGCCACACUGGAACUGAGACACGGUCCAGACUC
rnacentral:rRNA from 1 species